rnacentral:rRNA from 1 species
UAGCAUAUCAAUAAGCGGAAGGAAAAGAAACCAACAGGGAUUGCCCUAGUAACGGCGAGUGAAGCGGCAACAGCUCAAAUUUGAAAGCUGGCUCUCGGGCCCGCAUUGUAAUUUGCAGAGGAUGCUUCUGGCGACGCGCCUUCCGAGUUCCCUGGAACGGGACGCCAUAGAGGGUGAGAGCCCCGUCCGGUCGUGCGCCUAGCCUCUGUGAAGCUCCUUCGACGAGUCGAGUAGUUUGGGAAUGCUGCUCAAAAUGGGAGGUAUACGUCUUCUAAAGCUAAAUACCGGCCAGAGACCGAUAGCGCACAAGUAGAGUGAUCGAAAGAUGAAAAGCACUUUGAAAAGAGAGUUAAAAAGUACGUGAAAUUGUUGAAAGGGAAGCGCUCAUGACCAGACUUGGGCUGGCUCGAUCAUCCGGCGUUCUCGCCGGUGCACUCGGGCCGCUCAGGCCAGCAUCAGCUUCCGCCGGGGGAUAAAGGCGGUGGGAAUGUGGCUCCCUCGGGAGUGUUAUAGCCCGCCGUGCAAUACCCUGGUGGGGGCUGAGGUUCGCGCGUAUGCACGGAUGCUGGCGUAAUGGUCAUCAGCGACCCGUCUUGAAACACGGACCAAGGAGUCGUCUUCGUAUGCGAGUGUUCGGGUGUCAAACCCCUACGCGGAAUGAAAGUGAACGCUGGUGAGAGCUUCGGCGCAUCACCGACCGAUCCUGAUGUUCUCGGAUGGAUUUGAGUAAGAGCAUACGGGGCCGGACCCGAAAGAAGGUGAACUAUGCCUGUAUAGGGUGAAGCCAGAGGAAACUCUGGUGGAGGCUCGCAGCGGUUCUGACGUGCAAAUCGAUCGUCAAAUAUGGGCAUGGGGGCGAAAGACUAAUCGAACCUUUCUAGUAGCUGGGUUUCCGCGA